AGCUCCAAUAGCGUAUAUUAAAGUUGCUGCAGUUAAAAAGCUCGUAGUUGCAUUUCCGAGGCAAGGGAUUAGUCCGACCUUUGGUGGGUAUUUAAUCCUCUUGCCUCGUCCUUGAGUGGUGCUUCUUGGUAUUAAGUUAUCGAGGAGAUAGCCGCUCAUCGUUUACUGUGAGAAAAUUAGAGUGUUCAAAGCAGGCUUAUGCCGUUGAAUAUAUUAGCAUGGAAUAAUAAGAUAGGACCUCGGUACUAUUUUGUUGGUUUGAGAACCAAGGUAAUGAUGAAUAGGGACAGUUGGGGGUAUGCGUAUUCAGUUGUCAGAGGGGAAAUUCUUAGAUUUACGGAAGACGAACUACUGCGAAAGCAUUUACCAAGGAUGUUUUCA
rnacentral:rRNA from 1 species